AGAGUUUGAUCCUGGCUCAGAUUGAACGCUGGCGGCGUGCCUAAUACAUGCAAGUCGAGCGGGACUCUUCGGAGUCCAGCGGCGGACGGGUGAGUAACACGUGGGCAACCUGCCUGUAAGACUGGGAUAACACCGGGAAACCGGUGCUAAUACCGGAUAAUUCUUUCCCUCACAUGAGGGGGAGAUUGAAAGACGGCUUC
rnacentral:rRNA from 1 species